ACCUUUAAUAUCCUUUCCUGGGACACACAGAACUUGUACUCUAUCUCUCAUAUAAGAGAGUGGUCCCUAGCCUUUUUGACAUCAUUCCUGAAUGUUGAUGCCUAUGAGGAAAGACAGAAACUUAAUUCAUGAUUUUCUCCAGUUUAAAUUCAUAGGUAAGAGAUAAACAUUUUUAUUAUUCCUUCUCAAUAAUAAAAAAAAUAUAUAACACUGAUUUUCUG
rnacentral:lncRNA from 1 species